rnacentral:rRNA from 1 species
UACAGAGGUCCCAAGCGUUGUUCGGAUUCACUGGGCGUAAAGGGUGCGUAGGUGGUCGGGUAAGUCUGAUGUGAAAUCUCCGAGCUCAACCCGGAAAUGGCAUUGGAUACUAUUCGGCUGGAGGGUUGGAGGGGGGACUGGAAUACUUGGUGUAGCAGUGAAAUGCGUAGAUAUCAAGUGGAACACCAAUGGCGAAGGCAGCUCGCUGGGACGUGACUGACGCUGAGACGCGAAAGCGUGGGGAGCAAACAGG